CUACGGGCGCUGCAGUGAGGAAUUUUGCGCAAUGGGGGAAACCCUGACGCAGCAACGCCGCGUGAGUGAUGAAGGCUUUCGAGUCGUAAAGCUCUGUCAAGUGGGAAGAACCUACUAAGUGCCAAUACCACUUAGUACUGACGGUACCACUGAAGGAAGCACCGGCUAACUCCGUGCCAGCAGCCGCGGUAAUACGGGGGGUGCAAGCGUUACUCGGAAUUAUUGGGCGUAAAGGGCGCGCAGGCGGCCAGGUAAGUCAGAUGUGAAAGCCCGGGGCUCAACCCCGGAAGUGCAUUUGAAACUACUUGGCUUGAGUAUGGGAGAGGGAAGUGGAAUUCCUGGUGUAGAGGUGAAAUUCGUAGAUAUCAGGAGGAACACCGGUGGCGAAGGCGACUUCCUGGACCAAUACUGACGCUGAGGCGCGAAGGCGUGGGUAGCAAACAGGAUUAGAUACCCGUGUAGUC
rnacentral:rRNA from 1 species